GAUGGGAUUGAACCUACAACCUAGGUAUGUGGCCUGACCAGGGAUCGAACCCACAAACUUUUUGGUAUACGGGAUGAUGUUCCAACCAACUGAGCCACCCAGCCAGGGCACCAUUGAGAUUUAAUAGGAAGUAAGAAGAUGCUCGAACAAUCUUUUAGAAAAAUCACAGUCAAAAUUAUAAUUGUCUCCUUAUAUUUGAACCAGUAUAAAUAUUAUAAAUGUUUUGAUGAUAUUAUAGCUUGAUAGGUUUAUUUCCUAGAACUCUAUGCUACCGACAAUUUAUAUCUGUGUGUAAUCAUUAUCAUUAAGUUUUAACUGCGUAAGAUUUUUAUUUUCAAAAUGUAUACCUUUACCAAACCCAUUUCUAAUUUCUCUCUAAAUUAGAAUCAGCAUUUUUGAAUUUUUUUACCUGGUGUAAAUGCCACUGAAGCUGGUGUUGGUGGCAUGAUCUAUGAUUAUCUGUGUCAAAUGGUACAUAUCCCAAUUAUUCCCUUUUGUUUCCUGUAAGUUUUGUGUCAGUGCUGUGAAGCCAAAGGUAAUUUCUUAAUGUUGAGUAAGCCUAAAGCACUUACAGGGACAGCAGCCCCUCAGCCUCCUAACGGAUGUGUUGGCUAUGAGGAUGUGUUGGCUGUGACGGCUGUUUGGCACAGAUUAUGGAGUUAGAUUCUGGGGCGUGGGCAGUUGGGGGCAGGAGGAGACCCAGGAAGUGGAAUAAGUAAAGUCAGCAAAGAGCCCAUUGCUGUGGUCUUAAUAGAUGAGUUUGUUUUCUUUUUUAGCUGACAGCAUUGUGAAUUUUUAAGUCCGUCAUUGAUGUUUAAGUAAAUACAAAUGCCUCACCAUUUUAAGCCAAGUUCCAGUUCUGUGCUAUGUGAAGUUAGAGCUGUAGGAUUUGUUCUGUGGUUUGGCAGUUCCUCUAAUGCUGUAGGUGUGAGUUACCUGGGCAGGCACUGGGGGGGAGACAGGGGCAUGGUCAAGCCCUUCACAGGCACCCUGCAAAUAGAGAAUGAGGCUCUCAGACCCCUGACACCACCACCCCUCCCCUCCUAAGGGUGAGGCUGACUGUUGGUAUGGGAAUGUUCUCACCUUACUCUGAUCAAUGUGCUUGUCUUGAAAUCAUUUACCCUUUCGGCCAUAUAUAAUUGUGUGUGCCCAGUUUAGAAGAAAACAUGUUGGGCUGAUUGUUGGAGGGCAGCAGGGGAAGUUAGUUGGUCACAGGGACAUCUUGCCUCAGGGAUUAUCCAGGCAGUUAUGAAAACUGGUGGGUUUGUAAUUUUGGGAAAUAAAGAUACCAGUUCACAGAGAUCACUAGGUGUGUGCACGCUUGUGCACACUUCUCCUGGCGCAGCCUUGCAGAGAGAGGCUGCAUGUGUUUGGAGGUGCCCAGGCUGGGCUGGUGCCUGUGGCUGGUCAUGCAAUUGGUGGUUGGGAACCAGGACAUAGGAGGGAGCAGCUGCUGCUACUGGGGCUGAGGACAGCCUUGGUCAGGGUGGUGUGGCCAUGGUUCAAACCUUUACGAAGCCAAACAAGACCUGGAAAUGUAUGGAGGAGGGAGUUUGUUUUUCUAGUUUUGGUGGUUGGGGACCAGCAUAGGGAAUGGAAGUAUUUUUAUUUUCUAAAAUCUUGAAUUAUCAUUGCUGUGACUGUCAUUUUAGGUCUGUCCCAUCUCCUCCCUCCUCACACUCUUCUAGUUUGAUGGGCUAUGUGUUUAGGUAGUUUAGGCAGGAGCUGCUCAUCUAUUAUGGAAUGCAGACCAAGUUCAGCUGACCACGGUGGGGGCAGCUGCAUGUAUCCUCAGAUACUUCAUCUCACGCAUUAGAUAUUUAACUAAAUAUCUACAUAGUAAAUAUACUUAAUAUUUAAAUAAACAUCCUCUGUCUGUACUAUUUGCUCAGUGAGUAAGUAAGCACUAUGGACUAUUGGCCUUAGGAAAAUGACAAAUUAUUCAAAAAAGAGUCUUAAAAUCACCUGGUGAAAGCUGAGGGUGAUGAAUAUUUUGGUGUUUGUUGUCUUAAACAAGUCACUAAGUAGGGGGCAUGACAAUAGAUGAGGUGUUUUUAUCUUAGACAUUUGAACUACUGGAUGCUCUCUUUAAAGGGUCUCCAAUAAUGCAGUACAGUAUUAAUUUUGACCAGUCCUUGUGCAUACGUAUGAGACAAGGGCAGCUGGGCCCUCCGAAGGGGGCAGUUUUCUUUCUGGGGCUGCGGUCAGGAUAUGCUCUGAACAGCAGAACAGACAUACUGCCGUAUCUGUACUCACUGACUUUAACUCAUGUGAGAGUGUGUGUGUUUGUAAAUUAAGGAGGGAACCCCCCCUUUGUGCUUUUGGACUAGUACUUUUGUACACGAAGACUGAAAGACUUCCUCUGUUUUUUGGCAAGUGCUAUAAAGAGAGAUCACAUUAGUAUAACCUUUGCCUCCUAAGGUGUGGAUGAGUGCCUUGUGGUUGGAAUUUAAUUUUAACAGGUUUUAUCAAACUGCUAAAAGAUAUUGAAAAUGUUUAAUGUGAGCAUCAGGGGCAGUAAAUCACACACAGGCUCGUUAAAAUAGAUGUGCGCAGUGCAUGGGUGCGCGGAGCCCGUGUUCCUGCCCGGGGGCUCCUCACGGCUGCGCCCACCGGGUCUGUGACUCUCACCUCGUAACUCUGCGAUGGGCGACGGCUGGUGGAGCCGUGCUCGAGGAGGGAUUUCACACCCUCUCCCCCUCCUUUUGGGGCAGGGUUUAAAGACCUGUUUUCUUACCCAUUUGUAGGUUUCUUGGCUUUCCACAGGGAUUUCAAAAAAUUAUAUUUGAAGUACAUAGUUAAAUAAUAUUAGUGUCACCUGUGACAUUGAAUGUUGGCUUGUGAACCCUACCAUCUGUGAUGCAUUUUUCUUUCUGGCUUUUCAUUUUUUCCUUCCCUUUCUGCUUGUUUUUGUUGUCCUCCAAUUUCUCACUGUCUUCUUUGCAAAGAUCAUAUGUUUGGGACGUUGGUAUGCCCCCCAUGUCAUCUGAGCGCCCUGCUUCACAGGCCUCUUUAGGGCAGGGCUCCAUAUACCCCCUCAUUCAAAUUGGGUUAGUGGACUUAUGGCCUGUAUGCCAAAUCAGACCUCCCUCCCCACCCCCAUUCCUUCAUGCACUCUCUGUGGCCGCUGUCUGUUGUGGAGUAGUGGUGACAGUGGCUAAAUGGCCUGCAAAGUCUAAAAUACUUACUAUCUGGCUUUACCAGAAGAGUUUGCCAAUGCCUGACCUAAAUCAUUGCGGGUGUUCAGCAAAUAUUUACUGAAUUAAUGUUUGUCAAGUUUCACAAUCAAGUUUUACUUAAUAUGGAAAGAAAACACCAGUGCCUAGUGCUUGGGCUCCUUUUACCUCUUAUAUGUAGCAAAGGUGCAUCAGAGUGUGCACUUGAGUUCAGCAACAUAUAUCCCAUCAUCUCUUUACUAUAUGCAAACAUUAUGCAAACCCCCACAUAGCAUCACACAGUGCCUCUCGAAGAAAGGGAAGAGUUGGGGAAAGAAGGUGCUGGAUUUUGGAAAACAUCCCCAAGGAGCAUGGACUCUAUAUUCAGUGAUUCUUAAUUUUGGUUGUGCCAGCCCCUGGAGAGUUGGGCACUUGAGGGCAGGGCAUGUGAGCUCCUGUACCCUGUCCUGUCUGGGCUUCAGAUUGAAAGGUGGGUUAUGCCCAGGUAGAGAGCUGGCUAGUUGUGUCCUUCAUUUCCUCCUGAAAUCAAUGAUCUCAUUUCCCAUGUGAAACUUAAAAAGCAGUUUAAAGUGCUCAUAGAUGUUCUGUUAGUUUUGUAGGGAUGCCAAAGCAAAGGAUCAAGAACUGGGUGGCCUAAACAACAGAAAUUCAUUGUCUCAUGAUUAUGGAGGGCGCAAGUCUGCAAUCGAGGUGUUGGCAGGGUCUUGCUCCCUCUGGAGUCUCUAGAGGGGAUUACUCCAUGCCUCUUCUCAGCUUCUGGUAGCCCUGCGUGUUCCUUGGCUUGUAGAUACAUCACUCCAGUUCUCCAUCUCUUCACAUGGUGUUCGUUCUGUGUGUCUUCCCAUUAUUUUUCCCUGUCUGUCUGUCUCUGUGUUCAAAUUUCCUUUUAUAAGGAUACCAGUCAUAUUGAAUUAGGGUCCACACCUGUGGCCUCAUUUUAAUGUAAUCACAUCUCUAAAGUUCCCAGCUCCAACUACCGUCAGUCAUGUUCUGAGGUACUAGGGCUUCAACCUAUAUUUGUUUGGGAGAAACACAAUUCAGUGCAUAAUACAAGAUAUCUCAGAUCAGAAUACUUCAGAAGAGUGACCUCAAAGGUGGAGUUUUAUAAAAAUACGGCUAAUGUAGACAGUCGUGGACAUGAUUGCUUAGGCUUUCUAAGUGGCUCAUGCGUGGGUUACAUUAGUUAUGACGUCCCAUUUUGAAUGUGCACUUUCAGUCAGUCCUGUCUUUGGAUGUGGUUAUUAAGAAGGUUUGAAAGUUUGCCCUGAAAUUAUAGUAAGCACAAAUAUGUUAUAUGUGAGAAUCAGAACCUUCUUCUUCUCAUGUGUUUUGCCAUUUUCUUGGCUAAUUUUCAGAUGUUUAUAUCCAAAUAUGAGUUAGAGCUCUCAAACCAGUUAGAAUUUUCUUCUUGAUUUUAUAUUUUAGUCAUAACAUAUAUAAUGAACACUCUGUGAGUGUUUGCAGAGAGCCUGUACUGCCAAAGGUAGAGUGAUAAGUUAAUCACAGACUAAUGUCUAAGUAUUUCACUCUGUUUCUGUUUCCUUACCCUGUCUUCCCUGGAAAGAAAGAUUAAAAAGGACAAGUAUUGUUGGGGUCUAUUUUAGUGCCUGCUUCCCAGAGGGGUCUGCUGGGGGUAGGAGUCAGCCUCCCAGCCUCUUGUCUGCUGUCUGCAUAGGGCCCAGAGGAGCAACUAUAGUGAAGACCUGCCCUCCUCCCAGGCUGCUCUGGCCAGCCUCCCGGAGCCUGUCAUCACAGGGUGGGUCUUGCUGACUGUGUUGGCCUCUGCAUGCACAUGUGACGUCUCAGAGGUCUCUCCUGACUCUGGGGUGACAGGGCUCACUCUUGUGCUGCUUUGGGUGGGUAUAUGAACUGGGGCUGUUUAUUCCAAUUCUGUGGCUUUGAGCAGAAAUAAACCUGCCUUCCCAUAGUCUGUCCUUAGCCACCACAGGCCCUUUCCUUUGUGCUUUCUACCCAGUUUCUUUUCAAACAAUUCUUUUUUCCUCACAGUUGUGGGGCAGGGAUAAAAAUAUAAUGCAUAUUAUGUAAAAGCUGCAGCUUAUCUCCAGCUGUUAGUUUCCCAAUAGAGAGGGCCUUUUUACAUACGUUUUCCUACCUAAAACAAGAGGGCACAAAUAUUGGAAAGGGAAACACAGACCUUCAUGCACUUUCUCACUGGACUGCGUGUUUGCAUGGGAGGUGACAGAAAACACUGAUGGAAAAUAUUGCGCAUACAGUGGGCACGUGGUAUUGGGUGAGUUCUAUGGGCCAGACAGUGUGUGGCAGCAGGGCAAGAAGGACAUGUGGAUUUGGGCCAAGGCUGUCAGCAGGCCUGUUUGGUGGGGACAGAGCACGGAUUUGGGGGUUGAAGAGAAGGCUGGGUUAUUAGUUUUGCUAAGAUGUGCCCAUUUAAGACUUUUUUUGGUCCUCCCUUUUGGGUAACUAUGGGAAGUGUAGUCUGUUAGUUUUCCUUUUAACCCUUGUUUUAUUAAGGUGGUAAAACACUCUUGUCCCAGAGGACAAGGUUUUUUAAUCCAGAGGUUUUAAAUUCAAAUGCCAUGUUUUUAAUUAAAGUUGAAGAUUUUAAGUUACUUAAAACUGAACGUAAUUAGUUAAGGGAAAAAGUGUCAUAGCCCAUUAAAAGAUGCGUAGAAAAUUCCCAUUUUGGUUUAGUAGCACUGUUAAAUAAUGCAUCUCUGGUGUGUGUCAGUAGUCAUGCCUGGGGAAAUCAGGUCUGCUAUAAAUAGACGUUGUCAGACGUGGUGAAACGCAGUUCCUUCGAGGGUGGGAGCAGCCCCCGGUGGUGUUCUGUGGCUCCUACUGUAUGUGUCAUCCACACAGUGCGUGAAAGUAUCAAUUUUCACUUUUAGGCUGUUGAAGCUCAACUUAUAUCCCCAUAUACUUUUGUGUUUUAGUAGAGCACUCUUGGGGUAGAUUUUUUGCUGUUCUAUCACUUUUUCUACUCUGCCUUCAGGGGCCAGAAACACGAGUUUCACAUGUGUUGUGAACUCUUAAACUCUAACACAUGGUUGAAGGGCCACAAGAAAACUACCACUAGUCCAUUUGUCAGGAAAAAA